AAUUCUAUUUCAGAACCAUCCUCAGAGAUAGGAAAACUAGUUUCAUAUUAGAUUAAUAUGAAACUAGUUUUCCUAUCUCUGAGGAUGGUUCUGAAAUAGAAUU